UACGGGAGGCAGCAGUGGGGAAUAUUGCACAAUGGGCGAAAGCCUGAUGCAGCUAUGCCGCGUGUAUGAAGAAGGCCUUAGGGUUGUAAAGUACUUUCAUCGGGGAGGAAAAAACAAAACUAAUAAUUUUAUUUCUUGACGUUACCCGAAAAAGAAGCACCGGCUAACUCCGUGCCAGCAGCCGCGGUAAUACGGAGGGUGCUAGCGUUAAUCAGAAUUACUGGGCGUAAAGAGCACGUAGGUGGGUUUUUUAAAGUCAGAUGUGAAAUCCCUGGGCUUAACCUGGAACUGCAUUUUGAAACUGAAAUACUAGAGUAUCGUAGAGGGAGGUAGAAUUCUAGGUGUAGCGGUGAAAUGCGUAGAUAUCUGGAGGAAUACCUGUGGCGAAAGCGGCCUCCUAAACGAAUACUGACACUGAGGGUGCGAAAGCGUGGGGAGCAAACAGGGAUUAGAUACC
rnacentral:rRNA from 1 species